rnacentral:lncRNA from 1 species
CUCUCGCCCCUCCCCCGCGCGCCUGCGGGUCUCCAUUUCCGAGUUCACCUCCAUUCCAGAGCCAAAUGGAAAGUCACGCUUUUCUGACUUGAGACUUAAGGUUGUAAGAAAGCCAGUUGACCAUCUUCGCCUCCCUCGCGGCUUUCUAAAUGUCGAGAGCCCAGGUUUGGAAAAAUGUGACUGCGCCGCCUUCCUGGGAGACCCACACUGCAAGUCGCAGUCGGGGCACGUCUCACGGACCGCAAAACGCGGCUGAGUUACUGCGGUUUUCACCUUAGCAGCUUGCACAUUUACAAAUUAAGACAGUCUGGGAGGAAGAAGCAGAGCCACUUGGGUAUAGAAUUGAGAGAAUGGAACGAUUUCCAACGUUUCCAAAAGGCUUCUGGCCAUAUAGGCCCUCUACCUGUUGGCUAGAGAUUUGUUUCUUAUUUAAAGUGGUCAUCAGUUUCGAGUUUUAGUGUGCAGUAUAUGAACGAAAUAAGUCGAAUCGUUUAUUUGCUUAGCAAAGGGAUUUGGAACGAUUUGGGUUUUUAAUCAAAUAAAAGCAAACAUAGGAUUAGGUAGUCUCGAAACACCCACUGUAACGAAGAAUGAUACCCCGGAUUCUAAUAGUAUGUAAACGCAAACACUGUUUUUAUUCUGUAGAAGUCCAGCAUGCUGGGGUCUCCCGUUACCAAGAUAGAGCCUGAAGUGAGCCCGCAGGACCAAUUUAAAGCACCUUAGUGGAAUCCUGGGGUGUUUGCCCACAUUGCAUGUGCC